AUGAACGCUAGCGGGAGGCCUAACACAUGCAAGCCGAGCGGUAGAGAUCUUUCGGGAUCUUGAGAGCGGCGUACGGGUGCGGAACACGUGUGCAACCUGCCUUUAUCAGGGGGAUAGCCUUUCGAAAGGAAGAUUAAUACCCCAUAAUAUAAGAAACGGCAUCGUUUUUUAUUGAAAACUCCGGUGGAUAGAGAUGGGCACGCGCAAGAUUAGAUAGUUGGUGAGGUAACGGCUCACCAAGUCUACGAUCUUUAGGGGGCCUGAGAGGGGGAUCCCCCACACUGGUACUGAGACACGGACCAGACUCCUACGGGAGGCAGCAGUGAGGAAUAUUGGACUAUGGGUGUGAGCCUGAGCCAGCCAUCCCGCUUGAAGGACGACGGCACUAUGGGUUGUAAACUUCUUUUGUAUAGGGAUAAACCUACCCUCGUGAGGGGAGCUGAAGGUACUAUACGAAUAAGCACCGGCUAACUCCGUGCCAGCCGCCGCAGUAAAGC
rnacentral:rRNA from 1 species